rnacentral:rRNA from 1 species
UUGUCUCAAAGAUUAAGCCAUGCAUGUCUAAGUACAAGCCUCACUAAGGUGAAACCGCGAAUGGCUCAUUAAAUCACACCUAAUCUACUGGAUAGUCAACAGUUACUUGGAUAACUGCGGUAAUUCUGGAGCUAAUACAUGCACAAAGCCCCGAACUUACGUGAGGGGCGCUUUUAUUAGAUCAAAACCAAACGGCUUCGGCUGUUCUCUUGGUGACUCUGAAUAACUUUGGGCUGAUCGCAUAGCCUAGCGCUGGCGACAUAUCCUUCGAAGGUGUGCCCUAUCAACUGUCGACUGUGGCAUAGACGCCCACAGUGGUUUUGACGGGUAACGGGGAAUCAGGGUUCGAUUCCGGAGAGGGAGCCUUAAAAACGGCUACCACAUCUAAGGAAGGCAGCAGGCACGCAAAUUACCCAAUGACCGAAGGUCGAGGUAGUGACGAAAAAUAACGAUACGGGACUCAUCCGAGGCCCCGUAAUCGGAAUGAGUACACUUUAAAACCGUCCCCGAGGAUCUAUUGGAGGGCAAGUCUGGUGCCAGCAGCCGCGGUAAUUCCAGCUCCAAUAGCGUAUAUUAAAGUUGUUGUGGUUAAAAAGCUCGUAGUUGGAUCUCGGCAGUUCGAGGGCGGUUCGCUUGCUAGUGUUACUGCCUUAUGGACUGUAGUUUUGCCAGAGGUCUCGGGGUGCUCUUAACCGAGUGUCUCGUGAUGCUGGCAGGUUUACUUUGAAAAAAUUAGAGUGCUCAAAGCAGGCUUUUACGCCUGAAUAUUCGUGCAUGGAAUAAUGGAAUAGGAAGUCGUUUCUAUUUUGUUGGUUUUCGGAAAUCGACUUAAUGAUUAAUAGGGACAGUCGGGGGCAUUUGUAUUCAAACGACAGAGGUGAAAUUCUUGGACCGUUUGAAGACAAACUACUGCGAAAGCAUUUGCCAAGAAUGUUUUCAUUAAUCAAGAACGAAAGUUAGAGGUUCGAAGGCGAUUAGAUACCGCCCUAGUUCUAACCAUAAACGAUGCCAGCUAGCGAUCUGCCGACGUUUUUUUUGUAGACUCGGCAGGAAGCUUCCGGGAAACCAAAGCAUUUGGGUUCCAGGGGAAGUAUGGUUGCAAAGCUGAAACUUAAAGGAAUUGACGGAAGGGCACCACCAGGAGUGGAGCCUGUGGCUUAAUUUGACUCAACACGGGAAAUCUCACCAGGCCCGGACACUGGAAGGAUUGACAGAUUGAUAGCUCUUUCUUGAUUCGGUGGGUGGUGGUGCAUGGCCGUUCUUAGUUGGUGGAGUGAUUUGUCUGGUUAAUUCCGAUAACGAACGAGACUCUGUCCUGCUAAAUAGUGUCGGCCUCUCUUUUGGGCAGACAAUUCUUCUUAGAGGGACUGGCAACUCUCAGUUGCACGAGAUUGAGCAAUAACAGGUCUGUGAUGCCCUUAGAUGUUCUGGGCCGCACACGCGCUACACUGAAUAGAUCAACGUGUUCUCCCUUUCCGAGAGGAACGGGUAAACCGCUGAACCCUAUUCGUGGUAGGGAUCGGGGCUUGCAAUUGUUCCCCGUAAACCAGGAAUUCCCAGUAGGCGCAAGUCAUAAGCUUGUGUCGAUUACGUCCCUGCCCUUUGUACACACCGCCCGUCGCUACUACCGAUUGAACGUUUUAGUGAGGUCCUCGGACUGUUUGGUAGGCGGA